rnacentral:rRNA from 1 species
UACGAAGGGGGCUAGCGUUGUUCGGAAUUACUGGGCGUAAAGCGCGCGCAGGCGGUCCUUUAAGUCAGGGGUGAAAGCCCAGAGCUCAACUCUGGAACUGCCUUUGAAACUAGAGGACUUGGGUACGGGAGAGGUGAGUGGAAUUCCGAGUGUAGAGGUGAAAUUCGUAGAUAUUCGGAAGAACACCAACGGCGAAGGCAGCUCGCUGGGACGGAACUGACGCUGAGGCGCGAAAGCGUGGGGAGCGAACAGG